rnacentral:tRNA from 1 species
CAUUAAGUGACUGAAGUUUAAGUAAUGGUCUCUUAAACCAAUUUAUAGCAGAAAAAAAAAAUGCUCUUAAUGA